rnacentral:miRNA from 1 species
CCUGAGAGGCCUGAAGGGUGGGA